UACGAAGGGGGCUAGCGUUGCUCGGAAUCACUGGGCGUAAAGGGUGCGUAGGCGGGUCUUUAAGUCAGGGGUGAAAUCCUGGAGCUCAACUCCAGAACUGCCUUUGAUACUGAGGAUCUUGAGUUCGGGAGAGGUGAGUGGAACUGCGAGUGUAGAGGUGAAAUUCGUAGAUAUUCGCAAGAACACCAGUGGCGAAGGCGGCUCGCUGGGACGGUACUGACGCUGAGGCGCGAAAGCGUGGGGAGCAAACAGG
rnacentral:rRNA from 1 species